GGUUGCUCAACUUAGGCUGGAGGGAACCCUCGGCUCCCGGGGAAGAUUUGUUUCUGUGGACGAUCGCCCUACUUACUAGGCGGUGCAGAUUCCCCGCUAGUUUUACACUCCACGGUGCUGAGCUGUUUUAAUCCUCUGCAGGGCGGGUAAAGCAGUACUUACUGAAAGCAUAUUUUAAAAUAUGUUUAAAAGUCUCAAGAGGAACAGCGCUCAUCUCAUCUGAGACAAGCCACUCACAGCUCUGAAGCUCACCAGUUAGGCUGGACUGCCUUGCCGACAAGCACCGGGCUCCUCCUCAGAGCUAGCAUUGUAAGGAGCUUCUGGCCAUCAGAUCCAGGUCCCAGAGCUUGAAAGGCACUAUCAACUGAGCCAUCACCCUAGCUCUCAUCAUACCCCCUAAUAAAAUCUAAACAGGCAGUACCAAUCAUAUUAGCUGGUCUACCAAA